CGUGAUCACUCCUACGGGGAGGCAGCAGUGGGGAAUAUUGCACAAUGGGGGAAACCCUGAUGCAGCCAUGCCGCGUGUGUGAAGAAGGCCUUCGGGUUGUAAAGCACUUUCAGUAGGGAGGAAGGUAGUGUAGUUAACACCUGCAUUAUUUGACGUUACCUACAGAAGAAGCACCGGCUAACUCCGUGCCAGCAGCCGCGGUAAUACGGAGGGUGCGAGCGUUAAUCGGAAUUACUGGGCGUAAAGCGCAUGCAGGCGGCCUGUUAAGUCAGAUGUGAAAGCCCGGGGCGUUAAACCUCGGAAUUGCAUUUGAAACUGGCAGGCUAGAGUCUUGUAGAGGGGGGUAGGAAUUUCAGGUGUAGCGGUGAAAUGCGUAGAGAUCUGAAGGAAUACCAGUGGCGAAGGCGGCCCCCUGGACAAAGACUGACGCUCAGAUGCGAAAGCGUGGGGAGCAAACAGGAUUAGAUACCCUGGUAG
rnacentral:rRNA from 1 species